rnacentral:rRNA from 1 species
ACCUGGUCUUGACAUCCCGGAGACCCUUAGGAAACUAGGGGUGCCUUUCCAUCUGGAAGAAUCUGGAGACAGGUGCUGCAUGGCUGUCGUCAGCUCGUGUCGUGAGAUGUUGGGUUAAGUCCCGCAACGAGCGCAACCCUUGCCUUUAGUUGCCAGCAGUUCGGCUGGGCACUCUAAAGGGACUGCCGGUGUUAAACCGGAGGAAGGUGGGGAUGACGUCAAGUCCUCAUGGCCUUUAUGACCAGGGCUACACACGUACUACAAUGGCCGAUACAAAGGGCAGCGACACUGCGAGGUGAAGCCAAUCCCGUAAAAUCGGUCUACAGUCCGGAUUGGAGUCUGGCAACUCGACUCCAUGAAGUUGGAAUCGCUAGUAAUCGUGGAUCAGCAUGCCACGGUGAAUACGUUCCCGGGCCUU